GUAGGGUUUUCAGUAAAAAGUGGUAUAGUAGCUGGUAAUGAACAUCAGGGCUUUUUCAUGAUGAGAUAUUUUCUUUGCAUUGUAUGCUUAUUUUACUAUCCACCGUUUGUGUCUGUACAGAUUAACAUGAUGCUGGCAAACUUGUACAAGCAAAAACUGUUGUGUUUAAGAUCUAAUAAUUUUAAAUUGGAAUAUUUAUUUUUCUCUUUGUACUAUCAAGAAGGUUAUUUAUCCCUUUCUAUAAUUUCUACAUUCUUUGGAACUUUUAGGUUUUCUCAAAUUUUCCCAGUUGCAUUUUUAGGUAGGAUUAUUUUUAAAUAGCUUCUCUAAGUUACAUAUUUAAAUUGUGCUAAAGUGCAGAUGUCUGCACUCAGUGAUUUAAAUAGUGUAUCUGAUCUCUUGGAUCAUUAUCAUCUCUGGAGAUCAGUUUGAGUUUGAUUUUUGUAACAUUACUUUGGCGAGUUAGUACCUAUGAGUCUAAGCUUUAAGUGUCAGAAAGGCUAGAGUCUAGCCACAAGUCUAAUUAUCAGAGAAAAGCCAAGUGUUGUACUUCUGUGUCUGUCCUGCUGUCUAAUUUCCUUUUGGGAAAAACUCAUCUCAUCCUUCUUAACUAGCUAUGUCAAGAGUUCCUCACUGUCUCAUACCUUAAUAUUAACCAAAUUUAAGAUGCAUCAACUUGAGCACUUCGAGGUAGCUCACCUUCUACCUUUUCCAAGAUCAAGAAAGAAUCAAGGUAACUAGCAUUCUGUGACAUUUCUUAAGUGAAUGUUAUUCCUGUUUCCAGAGUCAGCAUCUUUGGUCCAGGUAUUACUGGCCCUUUUGGUUAGGUAAGUGAGAAAGUAAUGUGACCUUCCUCUUAGGGAUGGGAGUACCUAGGAAGGCAAUGGUAAUAAUUUCUUAUUUCUUUUGAAGAAUGGGUUUGGUCUUCCUUUACUUGCACAGGGCUGUGAGUAGGGUUUUCAGUAAAAAGUGGUAUAGUAGCUGGUAAUGAACAUCAGGGCUUUUUCAUGAUGAGAUAUUUUCUUUGCAUUGUAUGCUUAUUUUACUAUCCACCGUUUGUGUCUGUACAGAUUAACAUGAUGCUGGCAAACUUGUACAAGAAGGCUGGUCAGGAGCGCCCUUCGGUCACCAGCUAUAAGGAAGUGCUAAGGCAGUGCCCAUUAGCCUUGGAUGCCAUUCUAGGUUUGCUGUCCCUUUCUGUAAAAGGUGCAGAGGUGGCAUCAAUGACAAUGAACGUGAUCCAAACUGUGCCUAACCUGGACUGGCUCUCUGUGUGGAUCAAAGCAUAUGCUUUUGUGCACACUGGGGACAACUCAAGAGCAAUCAAUACU